AGUGAACGCUGGCGGUAGGCCUAACACAUGCAAGUCGAACGGCAGCACAGUAAGAGCUUGCUCUUACGGGUGGCGAGUGGCGGACGGGUGAGGAAUACAUCGGAAUCUACUUUUUCGUGGGGGAUAACGUAGGGAAACUUACGCUAAUACCGCAUACGACCUACGGGUGAAAGCAGGGGAUCUUCGGACCUUGCGCGAUUGAAUGAGCCGAUGUCGGAUUAGCUAGUUGGCGGGGUAAAGGCCCACCAAGGCGACGAUCCGUAGCUGGUCUGAGAGGAUGAUCAGCCACACUGGAACUGAGACACGGUCCAGACUCCUACGGGAGGCAGCAGUGGGGAAUAUUGGACAAUGGGCGCAAGCCUGAUCCAGCCAUACCGCGUGGGUGAAGAAGGCCUUCGGGUUGUAAAGCCCUUUUGUUGGGAAAGAAAAGCAGCAGGUUAAUACCCCGCUGUUCUGACAGUACCCAAAGAAUAAGCACCGGCUAACCUCGUG
rnacentral:rRNA from 1 species